GUGACUGAAUGAGAGAAAAGUGCCCUAGAAGCUAUUCAUUACGAAUUCACUGGAAGCUCUCAAACGAGGCUGGCAGAAGCUGAAAUUGAAGUGGUCUCUGACCUAAUUUUCUUCUGCAUGAAACAUCUGCAUCAAGGCUCUCUUUGAUGUAUUCCACUUGGCUCUGUCUAUAGGAUUGUAUCACAUGGACUCGGUGUUGCCUCCUUAUUGAAAGACAUUUCCAGCCUUUGCAAGAUUCAUCUCACUGCUAAUUCAUAUUCAGCUUCUUCCCCAACAUAAUUUCUAAGGCAGAAGUUUGAAAGCUGGUACCAAUCCAUGGCCUGUUGAGAACUAGGCCUCACAACAGGAGUUUGCAGCAUCACUGAAAACGAUGCACUCUCCUGCCAAGUCCCAUCUUUGGGAAGGAGGAAAUUGAUUAGAUCCAGGAGGUUUUCAUAAAUGCAGCAAGUGACUUUCUCAGCAUCAUCUGAAACAUUUGGUCCCAAUUCUUGGGAAAGGCCUAAGAAUUGCUCUGGCUUGGUGACAUGUCCACAUCCUCAAUCCAACAUCUGAUAUCGUGGAGAAGAAGUACACUGAUUGGAAGAUCCUAUUAUUAUUGCGAAGUUUGAGGAAGAGAAGGAGCAAUUGCCUCUAUAAAGGGAUGCUACUCCUAGAAAAAUGAUGGGUGCAGAGAAGGUCAAACGAUCAGUGCCUACUGAACUGUCUCAAAGGUCCAGCAGGAGCAGUGGUGACUUCAGUUUUCCUGAAGGAGGUUAAACUGAGAGCUGGAGUGUAAGUACUGCCCAGGAAGCAAAAGGAGACUCAAGGAAACAAAGCAACUAAUCCUGAGUGGUUUGGCCGUUGAGAAGAUUGAGGCAAGGAAGUCGGUGGUCAAAAAUACCCUCAUAGCCGUGAGAAAGUCCAUCUUGAUGUUAUCCAGUGAAACUUAAUGACAGCAAAGGAGCCAGGCAACCUGCUUAAUUUUGGAAAUGAAACUGUCAGGAGAGUUGAUGAGAAUUUGAAAAGAUACAACAAAGUAGAAUGCUAACACCAAUUCCAAACAAUUAUAAAGAAUCAUAA